UACCAGCUCCGCGAGUGGUCGGGGCGCUUACUGGGCCUAAAGCGCCUGUAGCCGGCCCACCAAGUUACCCCUUAAAGACCCGAGCUCAACUCGGGGACUGGGGGUAAUACUGGUGGGCUAGGGGGCGGGAGAGGCGGGAGGUACUCCCGGAGUAGGGGCGAAAUCCGUAGAUACCGGGAGGACCACCAGUGGCGGAGGCGUCCCGCUAGAACGCGCCCGACGGUGAGAGGCGAAAGCCGGGGCAGCAAACGGG
rnacentral:rRNA from 1 species